GACGGUAGAGCUUAAUUGUGGAGUGUGUGCUUAGCAUGCAUGAGGUCCUGGGUUCAAUCCCCAGUACCUCCA
rnacentral:tRNA from 1 species